rnacentral:lncRNA from 1 species
AGUGGGGACGCACGUUAUUUCCCCGAAAUUAAUUUUUGGAAAUAUAUUUUUUCCUACUUCUAAACAUCUGUUGAACCUGUAAAUUAAAGCAGCAACAACUUUUUGGGAAGUCGUUACGUUUUGCCGCUACGUUUGUUGCCUAAUUAUAAUUGCUAACAAGUUUUAUUAUAACUCUUUGACCGUAAAGUUUUUGUACAAAGUGAAAUUUGAAGAAAUGCUAAUAAUUUUGUAGACUGAAUAUAAAAAUGGUGAUGUUCACGUACUCAGUGUAUGUAAGAUGAGGACGCGGUGAGCUGUGAGAAUGAGUCGGAACUCGAGCGUAGCCGACUCCAAUGGAGAACUCAGAAUAUUACUAGUGGUGACCGUGAUCAUCGGUCUACUUCUUAUGUUCUCGUUGCUCAUGUGCUACGCGUGUGUCCUCAAACGACUGUGCUGUGGUACGCCUAGAGAGCGAGCGAAGCAUGUGGGCUGCGCUAGGAGGACCGAGAGCUACCCGAUGGGUGACGUCACGCUACUCUCGCAGCCGACGGAGAGCGAGCGCGUGUAGCUAUCAAACACAAAGUCAUCACAAUAAAGUGACCACUGAACAACAUUUACAACGCAAUAAUUCAAUCCGUAUGUGGGCUAUAUAACAUAAUUUAUUGCGUUUACCAUUUAGCUCUUUGAGUAAUUGGCCCUCGUUUAUAAUCCAAAAAUAAUGGUGAUUUCUUUAUUUGCUAACGUUAAUCUUAGUUUUGGCACAAAACUAGUCAGUUGUGUAAGGUUAAUCGGAAUAAUCAAUCAAAAUCUAAUUUAUACUGCAUUUCAUGAAAGACUGAUUUAGGUAUCUACUCCGUUGCCUGGGUUUAACAGACGAACAUCAAUUUUUAUAUUGUUUACCAUUUUGUAUUUUCUAUUUAUAUUGAAAAUGUAAAGACGUAUGAGUAAGUGGGUUUUCUCUCUUUUAUAAUAAAACAUAUACAAUGACACUGGCACACAGUGAACUGUUUUAAUGUGUAAUUUUAUACGUCGACUUCAGCUAAAAAAUCAAUCUUCGCAAAUGAAAUGUGUUGUUGCAAACGUUGAUUUUGUAUAAAUAUUUAAUUUAAUGUCUAUCAUGCUAAGUUAUCUACGUAGUCGUAGUAAUAUAUGUCUACCUAUUUGUUUUUACAUAUUUUGUUUUAUUUAAUAAAACAACGUGAAUGAAGUAUCGCAAUAUAAUGUUGACUUGACUAUGAUGUUGUGUUGUAUAUUUCAGCAAACUAAAUUGGUCUUAGCUGUUAUCAAAAGUUAAACAAACGUUCUGUAGCUAUAAAUAAUAGAAUAGACAUUUACUGAUUUUAUAGAAUGUAUGAUGUUUAAAAGUGGAACAAUAACAAAUAAACUAUUACCCACUCUCUGUGGCAGCGUG